rnacentral:tRNA from 1 species
UAAAUUGAAGCCAGUUGAUUAGGGUAUUUAGCUGUUAACUAAAUUUUUGUGGGUUUAAGUCCCAUUAAUCUAG